rnacentral:rRNA from 1 species
GAAUGAACGCUGGCGGCGUGCCUAACACAUGCAAGUCGAGCGAGAAAGUUCCUUCGGGAAUGAGUAAAGCGGCGAACGGGUUAAUUACGCGUGAGAAUCUGCCCUCUAGUGAGGAAUACCUUCGAGAAAUCGAAGUUAAUACCGCAUACGUCCUUAUAGUAAUAUAAGGAGAAAGGUGGCCUCUUUGCUAUCGCUAGGGGAUGAGCUUGCGUGCUAUCAGCUAGUUGGUAGGGUAAUGGCCUACCAAGGCUAUGACGGCUAGCCGGCCUGAGAGGGUGAUCGGCAACACUGGAACUUAGACACGGUCCAGACUCCUACGGGAGGCAGCAGUGGGGAAUAUUGCACAAUGGGCGAAAGCCUGAUGCAGCGACGCCGCGUGAAGGAUGAAGGCCUACGGGUUGUAAACUUCUGUUAAGUGGGAAGAAAUACCUAUUUCUAAUAAAAAUAGGGGAUGACUGUACCAUUAGAGAAAGCACCGGCUAAACUCGUGCCAGCAGCCGCGGUAAUACGAGUGGUGCAAGCGUUAUUCGGAAUCAUUGGGCGUAAAGGGUGUGUAGGCGGCAAAUCAAGUCCGUUGUUAAAUUUCUCGGCCUAACCGGGAUAGUGCGGUGGAUACUGAUUUGAUAGAGGAUGGAAGAGAGAAGUGGAAUUCUCGGAGUAGCGGUAAAAUGCGUAGAUAUCGAGAGGAACACCGAUGGCGAAAGGCAGCUUCUUGGUCCAUAACUGACGCUGAAACACGAAAGCGUGGGGGAGCAAACAGGAUUAGAUACCCUGGUAGUCCACGCUGUAAACGAUGAUCACUUGAUGUUGGUCCUGCUUUGCGGGGUCAGUGUCGUAGCUAACGCGUUAAGUGAUCCGCCUGGGGAAUACGGUCGCAAGACUAAAACUCAAAAGAAUUGACGGGGGCCCGCACAAGCGGUGGAACAUGUGGUUUAAUUCGACACUACGCGAGGAACCUUACCUGGGUUUGACAUGUAUUUGACAGUCGUAGAAAUACGAUCUUCUAGGCUUCGGUCUAGACAAUUACACAGGUGCUGCAUGGCUGUCGUCAGCUCGUGUCGUGAGAUGUUGGGUUAAGUCCUAUAACGAGCGCAACUCUCGCCGUCAGUUGCAACCCUUUUAGGGGCACUCUGAUGGGACUGCCCGGGAAACCGGGAGGAAGGUGGGAAUGACGUCAAGUCCUCAUGGCCCUUAUGUCCAGGGCGACACACGUGUUACAAUGGUCGGUACAAAAGGUUGCCAGUCCGUAAGGACGAGCUAAUCCCUAAAGCCGAUCUAAGUUCGGAUUGAGGUCUGCAACUCGACCUCAUGAAGUUGAAAUCGCUAGUAAUUGCAUAUCAGAACGAUGCAGUGAAUACGUUCUCGGGCCUUGUACACACCGC